UGGGGAAUAUUGGGCAAUGGGCGCAAGCCUGACCCAGCCACGCCGCGUGAGUGAUGAAGGCCUUCGGGUCGUAAAGCUCUGUGGGGAGGGACGAACAAGGCGGGUGCUAAUAUCAUCCGCCCCUGACGGUACCUCUUUAGCAAGCACCGGCUAACCAUGUGCCAGCAGCCGCGGUAAUACAUGGGGUGCAAACGUUGCUCGGAAUUAUUGGGCGUAAAGCGCGCGUAGGCGGUUGCUUAUGUCGGAUGUGAAAGCCCUCGGCUUAACUGAGGAAGUGCAUCCGAAACUGGGCAGCUAGAGUACUAAAGAGGGUCGCGGAAUUCCCGGUGUAGAGGUGAAAUUCGUAGAUAUCGGGAGGAACACCGGUGGCGAAGGCGGCGACCUGGGUAGAGACUGACGCUGAGGCGCGAAAGCGUGGGGAGCAAACAG
rnacentral:rRNA from 1 species